AUUGAACGCUGGCGGCAGGCCUAACACAUGCAAGUCGAACGAGUGGCGGACGGGUGAGUAAUGUCUGGGAAACUGCCUGAUGGUGGGGGAUAACUACUGGAAACGGUAGCUAAUACCGCAUACCAUGGGAUGUGCCCAGAUGGGAUGAGCUAGUGGGUGGGGUAAAGGAUCACCAAGGCGACGAUCCCUAGCUGGUCUGAGAGGAUGACCGGCGCCACUGAGACUGAGCCACGCUCCAGACUCCUACGUGAGGCAGCAGUGGGGAAUAUUGCACAAGGGGCGCAAGCCUGAUGCAGCCAUGGCGUGUGUAUGAAGAAGGCCUUCGGGUUGUAGAGGACUGUCAUCGGGGAGGCGUUACCCGCCGAAGAAGCACCGGCUAACUCCGUGCCAGCAGCCGCGGUAAUAC
rnacentral:rRNA from 1 species